GAUGAACGCUGGCGGCGUGCCUAACACAUGCAAGUCGAGCGAUUUACUUCGGUAAAGAGCGGUGGACGGGUGAGUAACGCGUGGGUAACCUGCCUCAUACACAUGGAUAACAUACCGAAAGGUAUGCUAAUACAAGAUGAUCUAAGAGAUUCGCAUGGAUUUCUUAUCAAAGCUUUUGCGGUAUGAGAUGGACCCGCGUCUGAUUAGCUAGUUGGUAAGGUAACGGCUUACCAAGGCGACGAUCAGUAGCCGACCUGAGAGGAUGAUCGGCCACAUUGGAACUGAGACACGAGCCAAACUCCUACGGGAGGCAGCAGUGGGGAAUAUUGCACAAUGGGCGAAAGCCUGAUGCAGCAACGCCGCGUGAGCGAUGAAGGCCUUCGGGUCGUAAAGCUCUGUCCUCAAGGAAGAUAAUGACGGUACGUGAGGAGGAAGCCCCGGCUAACUCUGUGCCAGCCGCCGCAGUAAGAC
rnacentral:rRNA from 1 species